rnacentral:rRNA from 1 species
UACAGAGGUCCCGAGCGUUGUUCGGAUUCACUGGGCGUAAAGGGUGCGUAGGUGGUGAGGUAAGUCGGAUGUGAAAUCUCCGGGCUCAACCCGGAAAUGGCAUUGGAAACUACCUUGCUGGAGGAUUUGAGGGGGGAUUGGAAUACUUGGUGUAGCAGUGAAAUGCGUAGAUAUCAAGUGGAACACCAGUGGCGAAGGCGAAUCCCUGGAAAAUACCUGACACUGAGGCACGACAGCUAGGGGAGCAAACAGG